rnacentral:sRNA from 1 species
GAGUUUCAGGGCUCCGAUCCUCCUCCCCGGACCCCUGUAGGAAUAGCGGCACUCCUCCUCCCAGCCGCUGUUCGGUUCUUUUGGAAAGCCUGCCGCACCUCCUCCCGCGGCAGGCUUUUCAG